CUUUGUUUUAGAAUCAUUAUUGAGUUGCCUUUCUAGCUAUCAUCUCAAAUAAGGCUCAUAUGAGUAGAAAUAUUACCACAAUGUAGUUGAGUAUGACUGCGUCUUAGGAUCAUAUAUGUUAGUUGCCAAAAAUGCCUGAGACCUAUGUUUUAGAAUCUGGUCGGUGGUACAAUGAUAUGCCAUAUCACAAUUCAUAGCAGAUUUCAAUCAGCUGUUGCAUUGGAAGAAUCCUUAACCAUAUCUGCAGAUUAUUCUUCAGUUCCUUUAUUUUCAUUACCGGAAGCAAAGUGGGCGUGAUGAACUUGACAAUUUGGAUAAAGCCUAAUGCACAGCAAACAAAGUAUUUCAUUUCUUUUCUUCAAUGGAAAAGACAUGGAGCUACCACCUGCGUGGGGAUUGUGCAUUUUUCUUGGAAAGCUGCGCAAUAGCCACUCCCCGUGCAGAACUGCAGAGACAAGGUUCACACGCUUAAUUUGCGGUGAAUGAGCUGCGGCGCCGCAUGGUUAAGGGAUGAAAUCUGUUAAGGGAUAGAUGCAGCAGUCUGCCGUGUUAGAAUACCAAAAAUGUAUGUGUCAUGUACUCAGGGUCAUGCUAUAUCUGUACAUCGUAUGGUGAUUUGCAGUUCUUCAUGCUAUCUCUAUUUUUGUA